rnacentral:ncRNA from 12 species
GGGUCCGGAGGUAGCGUUUCACUAUUUCCGGAGGACAGAGGAUGGUCGGGCCGCCAUCC